AGCUGCAAAAUCUAUAAUUCAAACUAUAAUAUUGAAAUAGUUCUUUCUAAUUUUUAUCACUGAGAAAAAAAUAUAUUUUUAUGUAUCACAUAAAAAAUAUUAUAUAUCACAUUAUUCACUUAAAAAUUUUGUUCAGUAUUAUAAUAACUUUUGUUCAAAUAUGUAUAUAUUAAUCUAUUAUAAUACACAUAUGAUAAGAAAUGUACAUAAGUAAUAAUAUUUUGGGCCUUUCAGUUAAUUAGCAUUUGUCAACAAUACAUUUGCUAGUUGGAAACAAACGAGAAAUCAUUUAUUUAUUCGUUCUCGAGUUUAUAAUCAUAGUUCAUGAUCGCAGUAAUAUUUCCAUUUAAAAAUAAUUUUUUAAAAAUUUUUCUUCAUUGUUCUUUCAAACAAUAAUCUUUCAAGCAUCUUCAGUGAUUAGAAAUAAAAAUUAGUCUUAAGAAAAUUUACAAUAAUUUAAUUUCGUUAACAAUAUGGAUAAUAUGAAUUCAAAGAAUAUAAUCGAUUUAGCUGAUUUUAUGAUAGAAGAAUUCGAUGUUGCGUGGGUAGCAUUAUUUAAACAAAAGUAUAAUCAACUCGAUUAUUAUACAAUAAAACUAUAUGUGGAAAAUCUAAAAGAGCAACGAAAUUUGAUCAUCUCAGCUAGCGCAUUCAAUUCGGAAGAUUAUCCAGAUCUUCAGAAAAAAAGAAAGCGUUUUAUGCAAAAAUAUAUUCCUCUUAUAGCUGCAGCGGAAAUCUAUUUAAUGAAAUACAAAAUGUUCGACACAGAGGAAGCGAUUACUAAUUAAAUAAAUAAAAUUGAUAUUGAAAAUCUAUUAUGUAACUAAAUUAAUAUAUAUGAAAUAUUGUAUUAUUAAUACAAACGAAAUUACACCAAAAAGAAUAAAAAUAUAAGGGUAAAAUACAAGAA